rnacentral:rRNA from 1 species
UCGGGAAUUUUGGGCAAUGGGCGAAAGCCUGACCCAGCAACGCCGCGUGAAGGAUGAAGUAUUUCGGUAUGUAAACUUCGAAAGAAUAGGAAGAAUAAAUGACGGCACUAUUUAUAAGGUCCGGCUAACUACGUGCCAGCAGCCGCGGUAAUACGUAGGGACCAAGCGUUGUUCGGAUUUACUGGGCGUAAAGGGCGCGUAGGCGGCAAUUCAAGUCAUCUGUGAAAUCUCCGGGCUUAACUCGGAACGGUCAGAUGAUACUGCUUUGCUAGAGUGCAGAAGGGGCAAUCGGAAUUCUUGGUGUAGCGGUGAAAUGCGUAGAUAUCAAGAGGAACACCUGAGGUGAAGACGGGUUGCUGGGCUGACACUGACGCUGAGGCGCGAAAGCCAGGGGAGCAAACGGGAUUAGAUACCCCAGUAGUCCCUGAGCGGGCUGGCAAGGCGCAU